UCACAUUAGGCUCGGACGAACGCCAUUUUGAACUGCGAGCGGUUCAUUAUCGCGGACCAGUGCGGACGAGACAAGACAAGACGAGACGAGACGAGACGGACGAAAUGCUUCUCGCAAGUUAGUAUCGAUGAUGAAAAUUGGUGGUUUAUUUUUUAUAGUUGCACAGACAGAAUUGAACGAAUGCUAAUGAAACGGAACUAUUGAUUGAUGAAUGCUGGGAACAAAAAUCUGAAUGACGACAGGAGGGAGGGAGAGAGAGAGAGAGAGAGAGAAAGAGUAUAGGAAAAGAAAAAAAUAUGUACUUUAAGCUUCACGACUGUCGUCACCUAAUCGUCCAGAUUCGCGUUCGCAUCGCUAUGUUUUUCUUCGUAUGUUGCGUGGGUGGACUAGCUACUGGAGGUGAACCAACAUUCACCGUACAAUGAUGCUGCGACAAUGUGGCACCGGGUGGGAGAAACGUAUUGAAACCGACGAUGAGUUCGGGAUGUCCUUUGAAGAGAUGACUCACU